rnacentral:rRNA from 1 species
AUGCCCGCGUCGCCCGCACGGGCGGAACCAGAUCUCCGCCGCCGGAACUCCCUCCUCUACAUCUCCUCCUCGCCGCCGCUGGCUUAUGCCGCUAGGCAAAGCCUGCCGGCGGCCGGCGGCGGCGGGCUUCCUCCGGUGCGGCCCUGGUGUUGGGUGCGCGGCGUACAUGGCGGUGGCCGAUGCAGCGGCUGCGCAGCGCAUCAGAUCGACAGCUACUCGUGGAACCUCUCGUCCUUGCCGGUGUUGUGGUGCUCAGCGCGAGGCGAGGUGACACGGGUGGUACAGAGCGCGAUCUGGGCAUGUGUGGGCUGCGGCUCGGUAGGGCUCCGGCUGUGGGGCUUGCUCACGGAGGAGCGCGGGCGCCGGGGCGGCGGCCCCGGGUCUCUUCUGCAGCGACGGCGGACAUGGUGGCUGCGUGGGUAG